rnacentral:rRNA from 1 species
GACGAACCGUGCGAACGUUGUUCGGAAUCACUGGGCUUAAAGGGCGCGUAGGCGGGCUGGCAAGUCUGGGGUGAAAUCCCGCGGCUCAACCGUGGAACUGCCUUAGAUACUGUCGGCCUCGAGGAAGGUAGGGGCAUGCGGAACUGUAGGUGGAGCGGUGAAAUGCGUUGAUAUCUACAGGAACUCCGGUGGCGAAAGCGGCGUGCUGGACCUUUUCUGACGCUGAGGCGCGAAAGCUAGGGGAGCAAACGGG